AAUGAAAUCUUUAGCCAGAUUUAGAUGGUCAUUCUCUAUUGGAUGACCUUUGACCUGUUCUACAGUAUCAUGAUGAUAUCAAAUCUGCAGCAGGUAUUAAAUGCUCUCAGCAUCAAAGUCUGAAUGAAACUGAUCAUUAAAACAGUGUUUAGAGGGAGAAGAUCCACCCAAAAUAACAUGAAGUAAAUCAGGAGUGUCUGUUUCUGAAAAUGAUCAAUAGAAAUUUAUUAGCAAAGAUACUAAAUGACAAAACAGUGUUUCUGCUGUCUUCAGGUAAAUGAUCUGGAGUGUGUUUGCAUAUUGAUCAGAUGCUUCAGUGCUCUGAGAGUGUUUAUAGUGCUGUGAGUUUAACACUUCAUCACUGACACACACAACAAUCUUCAUCAACAUGACCUUCAUCAUCAUCUGGACGCUCUUAUACUGCUUUAUACUACAAGGCUGUAGAGCUCAGAUCACAGUGACUCAGACUCCGGUGAAAACUGCUGCACCAGGAGAAACUGUUGAGAUGAGCUGUAAACUCAGUACUGAUACAACACACAGUGGUGGUAGAUGCAGCCCACCCUGUGUGAGCUGGUACUUACAGAAACCUGGAGAAGCUCCUAAACUCCUGAUUUAUUAUACAAACAGCCUUCAGUCAGGAACUCCAUCUAGAUUCAGUGGCAGUGGAUCUAACAGUGAUUUCACUCUGACCAUC